AGUGAACGCUGGCGGUAGGCCUAACACAUGCAAGUCGAACGAAAGCACAGUAAGAUCUCACUCUUACGGAUGGCGCUUGAAGGACGGGUAAGAAAUACAUCAGCAUCUAAUAUUUCUCGGAGAAUUUCGACGCGACGGUUACGCUACUACCAAAUAAGACCUACGGGUGAAAUCAGUAGAUCUUCGAGCCUUUCGCGAUUGAAUGAGCCGAUUCCGGGUUAGCUAGUUGGCAGGGUAACGGACCACCAAGGCGACGAUCCGUAGCCCGUCUGAGAGGAUGAUCGGCCACACUGGAACUGAUACACGGUCCAGACUCCUACGGUAGGCAGCAGUGGGGAAUAUUCGACAAUGGGCGGAAGCCUGAUCCAGCCAUACCGCGUGGGUGAAGAAGGCCUUCGGGUCGUAAAACACUUUUGUUGGGGAAGAAGAGCAGCGGAUUGAGACACAGAUGUUUUGACGGUACCUAAAGAAUAAGCAGCGGCUAACUUCGUG
rnacentral:rRNA from 1 species